CACGUAGGGCGCAAGCGUUGUCCGGAAUUAUUGGGCGUAAAGAGCUCGUAGGCGGUCUGUUGCGUCCGCUGUGAAAACUCGGGGCUUAACCCCGAGCCUGCAGUGGGUACGGGCAGACUAGAGUGCGGUAGGGGAGACUGGAAUUCCUGGUGUAGCGGUGAAAUGCGCAGAUAUCAGGAGGAACACCAAUAGCGAAGGCAGCUCGCUGGGACGUUACUGACGCUGAGGCGCGAAAGCGUGGGGAGCGAACAGG
rnacentral:rRNA from 1 species